CUGGCAACAGAGGAUACUUCCGGGUGCGGCCCCCGUGGCGGUGAUUUGAAUUUUUGCAGGAGUGGCGCGUAAUGGCAUCCAGCAGAAGAGGAACCUAUGCAGAAAGAGGAGGGCCAUCAAGAACAGGAGUGGAAAAGGCAGAAGUAGCACACUGCUGCAGAAAAAAGGUAUUGUCGCACGGUGAGGACCUUCUCUGGCUGUCCGAUUGGAGUCAAGUGAGGUAUUGUAUCACGGUGAGGACCUUCACUCGUUGUCCGGUUGGAGUCAAGUGAUUGUGAGAUAUUCACUAUGAACCUAUGAGCGAUAUUCAGGUCCCGGAAUUGACGUCAGACACCCGCCAUGCAAAUGCCUGGACACGCCUGCUUUCGCUGCACCACUCCCAG